UCUUAUGUUUUGAUACUAUAUUAUAUAAUACAAAAUAAUUAGGGUUAAUUUUAUAUAGGUUCUUACAAACAUAGUGAAUGAUAAAUAUAUCACUACAAAAUUCAACUUUUAUAUGUUGUUCCUAUGAAAGUUCUGAUGUUUUUAAAUAUGUCCCUACCGUUAAAAUUUGUUAGAAAAUUUUAGUUAGAAAAUUUUAAUUAACCAUAGAGUAAAUACUUAAUCCUGAUUAAUUUUUGACAUUUUUACCACUUUAUAUUAUACGGUUAUGACUUUUGAAGGGGUAUAUUUGUAAUAGCAAAAUUGAAAAUAUAAAUAGUUCUCUAACAGUGCUCUAACGGUAACAAGUCAAAUGGAUAUAUUUGAAAAUAUCAGAACUUCUAUAGGGACAAUAUAUAGAAGUUGAACUUCAUAGGGAUAUAUUUGUCAUUCACUAUGUUUGCAGAGAUAUGUAUAAAAUUAACCCAAAUAAUUAUUAUUCUUGAAGAAUUCUAAGUUAUCAAAAAGUGUAGUGUUUAAAUGUAAUAUGUUCAAUACAUGCUUGGGAUAUUAUAUUAUAUAUUGAGGGCAUGCUUGAUCACGAGUAGAAUGGAAAUAAGAAAUGGAAUUGGGUUAUAUUUGAAUGGAAAAUGAAAUAAUGAAUCAUUUUUAAAUGUUUAGUUCAUCAUUAGAAUAAAAAUUGGAAUGGAUAAUUAUGACACUUAAGUAUUAGGAUUUUGAGAGAGUGGUUUUUGUUAAGGAAGAGAAGAGUGAUGCGGGAAGAGGAGGCGGAGUUAUUUGUGAGAAAAUGUUUUGAAUAGUUUAUUCUAGAAUGGACUAAUUCAGAAUUUAAAGUCGGAUUAGACUAGAAAUGGAUCAAAUCGUUCUCAUUUCAGACUGAAUUGAGAAUCAAGAUUCGAUUCCUGUAAAACACACAGCAACUAUUAGAAUCAGUUAAUCUUAUUU
rnacentral:lncRNA from 1 species